rnacentral:rRNA from 1 species
UAGGGAAUCUUCCGCAAUGGACGAAAGUCUGACGGAGCAACGCCGCGUGAGUGAUGAAGGUCUUCGGAUCGUAAAACUCUGUUGUUAGGGAAGAACAAGUAUAAGGCGAAUAACCUUAUACCUUGACGGUACCUAACCAGAAAGCCCCGGCUAACUACGUGCCAGCAGCCGCGGUAAUACGUAGGGGGCGAGCGUUGUCCGGGAUUAUUGGGCGUAAAGGGUGCGUAGGCGGUCUUCUAAGUCUGAUGUGAAAGCCCCCGGCUUAACCGGGGAGGGUCAUUGGAAACUGGAAGACUUGAGUGCAGAAGAGGAGAGCGGAAUUCCACGUGUAGCGGUGAAAUGCGUAGAGAUGUGGAGGAACACCAGUGGCGAAGGCGGCUCUCUGGUCUGUAACUGACGCUGAGGCACGAAAGCGUGGGGAGCAAACAGG